rnacentral:miRNA from 1 species
CAGAGUGAGCAGCCAGUGCUGUUAGAAGAGGGCUGAGAGCAGGGAGAGCCCUCUCUUCUGCAGCACUGACUUUUCCUCUG